rnacentral:rRNA from 1 species
UACGUAGGGUCCGAGCGUUGUCCGGAAUUAUUGGGCGUAAAGGGCUCGUAGGCGGUCCGUCGCGUCGGGAGUGAAAACUCGGAGCUUAACUCCGAGCCUGCUUCCGAUACGGGCAGACUAGAGGUAGGCAGGGGAGAGCGGAACUCCUGGUGUAGCGGUGGAAUGCGCAGAUAUCUGGAGGAACACCGGUGGCGAAGGCGGCGUCCUGGACCAACACGUGACACUGAUGAGCGAAAGGCCAGGGGAGCAAACGGGAGUUAG